ACCGCGCGACGCACUUCUCUGAUCUUUCCCUUCGUCGUCUCCGCUCACCGAACCCGGCUACUUCCACCCGUUGUCUCCUCCUUUCUUCCUCUCCGCCACCGCUUAUCCGCUCCGGCUUCCACCGCCCGUCCACGUCCACCCGUUCUCCCCUGAUCGCCGCCCACCGCUGGCCUCCCUGUGCCCGGCGGAGUAUGCAGCAUCUCCGGCAGCCUCCAAACCCAGCGAGGGCACAUCUACCACCGGACACCUUGUGCCACCGCUACAACCUCCCGUUGUAGAAGAGAGGAGAUAAGCAAUAGCUCGUGGAAGCGAUCUGAGCUUGUAUUCUUCAUUGUCUAUGCUUGGGCUUUUGAUUGUUUAUUCAUCUGUCGGUCUCUGCAACUCUUCCGUGGGAAUCUUCUCGUGAGCAUUGAGAUCCUCUUAUUGACUCGAGGAUUAAAAGGAACUAGGAAGGAUAGAGAAUUUGGAACCAAGUUUAACAAAAGAAAGAAACUCAUGAGUCAAACCAGAAUACCAGUGGCUUGUGGGGAGGCAGUUGUCACCUAUUGAGAUCUUCAUCAUUGGUUAUGGGUAGAGUAUCUUUUUGGUCUCUUGUUUAUGCAUCUAGUAACUACUGCCACUCUGUUAGAUCUGUUUCUUUUUUUUCAGUAAAAUUUGCUCUCACGAUCACAUUCUUGAUGGUACUUCUGAUAUUCCUUCAAUGCUUUAGGAUUUAAUGUAAUCCUUCAUGACACUUAUUUGAAAUACUUAUGCAUUUGUUUGAUUUCUUAGUUGCAUGCAUAUACUUUUGCUAGUACGAAGGGAUCAAGGAAAAGUGGUUUGCAUGAUUUGAAACUGAGAUAUGCUCACCUUUUCUGUAUGAAAUGCAUAUUAUCAUGAUCCAUUUAGGCACCUACAUAGACAUGGUAUAUAUGUAGAUGUGAAUAUGCAUGUGUACUUGGUUUUUUAGCACAUGAAUAACAGCCAUAUUUUCAUACAAAUUAGCAAGACAUUUAUAUGCCCAAGCAUAUGCAUUAGUUAUUCAUUAGUAGUGUUCCACAUACACACGCAUUUACUAGUCUGGUUUGGGUUGCAAGUGGUUCAAUUAGACCCUGGCCUGACCAGAAAUCAAUGCUGUCUGAAUGCAUAAGUGUACAGCUGAAUUGGAAUAUUAUGCGUUUAGAAAACUCUAUGUAGUACCACUCUUUAUCUGAUAAUUGGUUGAUAUCCUAGCAUUGUCGUUGUCAUGAUGGUAGCACUGUUCCGAAAUAACUGAAAGUAUUUGCUUUCUAAUCUUUAUUAAAAUUGAAAAUUAUUCAUUUCUUUUGUCACAAUGAUUUUUUUUUUUUAAACAAAAAAUGUUCAUGAACAACCAGACACGUUAAUGCUUUUAAAUUCUACUGACCCUAGUACUAGUGGUAUUUACUUCUUUCUUAAGCUGUAUGAGCAUGUAAAAUGAAGGAACAGAGGAGGCCUUAACAAAUGGAGGGGCUUAGAUUUGUUUAUAAGCAUAGAAAAGAUGAGGGCAAGGCCUAAGCUAAGUUUGUUUGAAGUUCGCGGAAGGAGUUGGAGAUUUUCUCCCGAGUACCAUCAACACCAACCGGGUCGAUAGAUUACUGUAAUGGUACCGUAGCAGACUACCAGUACUUGGGAUGUGUAGGCAUCUCUAUGCAUACUAGGACCUGUAUUUUUAAUUUUUCUAUUCUUUUGUUUUGUUCUUCGUUAUGAUUUCUUUUAUAGUUAUUGAGGAUCUUUUAUGUUUGUUUAGGUUAUAAACUAGGUUUACGUUAAGUUUUG